rnacentral:rRNA from 1 species
GAUGAACGCUGGCGGCGUGCCUAAUACAUGCAAGUCGAGCGAACAGACGAGGAGCUUGCUCCUCUGACGUUAGCGGCGGACGGGUGAGUAACACGUGGAUAACCUACCUAUAAGACUGGGAUAACGUCGGGAAACCGGAGCUAAUACCGGAUAAUAUAUUGAACCGCAUGGUUCAAUAGUGGAAGACGGUUUUGCUGUCACUUAUAGAUGGAUCCGCGCCGCAUUAGCUAGUUGGUAAGGUAACGGCUUACCAAGGCAACGAUGCGUAGCCGACCUGAGAGGGUGAUCGGCCACACUAGAACUGAGACACGGUCCAGACUCCUACGGGAGGCAGCAGUAGGGAAUCUUCCGCAAUGGGCGAAAGCCUGACGGAGCAACGCCGCGUGAGUGAUGAAGGUCUUCGGAUCGUAAAACUCUGUUAUUAGGGAAGAACAAAUGUGUAAGUAACUAUGCACGUCUUGACGGUACCUAAUCAGAAAGCCACGGCUAACUACGUG